GGCUGGUAUGAGCGUGUGGUGUUUACAACUAACUGAUCACAGCCAGUUACAGAUUCCUUUGUUCCUUCUCCACUCCCAUUGCUUCACUUGACUAGUCUUUA
rnacentral:Y_RNA from 1 species